rnacentral:lncRNA from 1 species
GUAAAAGAUACUUGCUCAAGGUGCCAUGUAGGAGUGCAUCUGAAACCACGUGGCUGCAAAACGAGCUUUUUAGCCAUACGGCCAUGCGUGUGCCUAAAAUUGCUGAAAUCCUUUUGGAAUUCAUGUGGCUGGACCAGGGAAUGAAGAACAAUAACACCGCUAAAAUCGGCACUACAACUACCACAUCUGCGCCAGCAAGAACGAAAACAUUUUUGCUAAAAUAGUAAAUGUCUUAACAUCAUCCGACAGUUUCAGUCACGAUUGAUUCCCCUUUAACUUCAAUUUCUCACCCCUACCCUUCCACCGAAUGACGUUUUACAAUCACUGUUUCCCAUGUUUUGCAAAAGCAAAGUUAUAAUCGUUCUCAGAAUAUUGUUUUGAUAUAAAUUUUAAGUGGUGAGUGGAUAAGUUGAUACCAUCGACCCCAAUACUUGACGGGUUCUUUAUUUUAUCAACUCUGAAAAGGUGAAAGGCAAACUUUACUCCAGCAGACUUUGAUUCAGAAUGUUAAGAGCCGGAAGUUCUACAAAGAAUUUUCUCCAAGGCCCAAUCCAAAACCUUGAAGAUUAUAAAAACGAACUAUUUAGGACGAUACAAACAAAGUUCGGUAAGGAUUUAUAUACGUGUAAACAAUAAAAAGACAAUAACAACAAAAUUUCCAAUAGGGGGAGUAACAAUUAGGGGCAAAAAUGGAACCCCACAGAUCCUGAAAUACCCCACCAUAGGCAGGCACUUUUCUUCCAACCGUUCUCUUCUGUCUACAGGCGCGGGCUCAGUGCGGGCUCGCUUGAGCCAUUCUUGCACUUUCAACAAAUGUACUGGGAAAGCAUACAAAUAAUGAAAUUAUAUUGGACCAUGGUUCAUUAUCAGUCAUGUUUCUACUCACAGACAACACAAUGUUUAACUAAGAUUUUUUUUCGAAAAUGUGUUUAGAAUAUAAGUAUUGUACCUGAUUUAAAUAUUUUAUUUCUAAAAAAAUUCCCAUCAUCUAAUCACGAGAAUCCUCACAGCAGCUCUUUGAUAUUUCCUGCCUCUGUUGAGUCCACGACACCCUUAUGCGAAUGCUUAUGCCAAAGUUAAAAACCGUAGCUCAGAGUAGUGGCUCCACCUACAAGCUCUCCAUUGUAUAAUCAAUAGUGGCCCCAUCGUUGGAAUUUGAACUAAGAAUGUAAAUGGACAAGUGCAUGUUCUAUGCUAGAAAGUUCUGGAAAUCCACUGGAAUGAUGAAAGACAAAGUUGAACUCGACAGGAUUUGAACGCAAAUCGAAGAGGACCAGAGCAAAUAACUAGAAAGCAUUUUUAACCUGCACUCUAGCGACUCUACCAAGCCCGCACCUUAUAAUAAGAAAUUAUUGCGAACGUAAUACGCAUACGGACGCGCGUCUUGUGGGCGAAGGAAAACUCAGUUAAAUCGACCCAGGUAAAUUACUGGUAUUCCUUAUGCCGACAUUCCUCCACAAGUCGUAUUGUUGAAGGGCACAAGAAGACACAGCGAUGAUAAAGAUGAUGAUGAUGGGUGACACCAACGACGCCGACCAUGACACAAAGUCAAAACUUUACACGCCCAAAUUGGACUCCUUCGAUGAAGUAACAGAAAAAUAUGAACUUUCUGAGAAAAAUUCCAAAAAUUUGUUCGAAACAAGAACAGGAUGAAAAACAUCGUUAGCAGCUUCUGAAAAUUAUAAGCGUUUGAAGUAAGAAUUGAUUGAACAUAAAAAUCCAAAGUUAAUAUGUCAUGAAACUCCUAAGACUAUAAACAAUUAAGGAAAAAUUCAUUCACAUGGCGGGAAUAUGAAGCAGACUGAGAAGUUCAAGAAAAAUACGAUCGUUCACUCGUUAUCAACAAGAAAGUUGGCUGUGAUUACUGCGCCAAACCUGAGUGCAUGAGCAUUAAAAGAAUCGACGCUUUAUAGAAAAUCUGAAAUGCUGAAGUAUCGUAAAAAUAUAAAGUCGGCCAGUAUGCAUCUAUUUUUCAUUAAAAGUACAUUGUAUAUGUGUAAUGUAAUUGAAGCAACGCGAAGAGA